CAAAAAUCUGUGGCUGCUACAUAGAAAAUAUAAAAGGAGACUUUGGCUGGAAGAAAACCAAGCUGCUAGAAGAAGGACAAAUAAUUGGAAGGAAAGUUUUCUUUCAAUCGUUUGGAUGUGAAUUCACACAAGUUUUUCUUCUCAACGUGAUUCAAAUUGAGAUUUUCUCUAAGGUGUAUUUUGGGUACUCUAGAUGUGUAAUAUUCAAAGCACUAAAGGCAAAAGUAUCCUCUCUAGUGGGAGCAGCCGAGCUAGAGAAAAGAAAGAUGUUGAUUGGGUUUUCAGAAGUUUAAUCAAAUUGGUGAUUUGUGGUGAGAUAAAUUGUUGUCUUAGAGAUUAAUUAUUGUGCUAUUUCUAAUUUGUUGAGAAUUCAAGUUUUGGGGCAUAAACUUGAAUAUUGAAAUCUUUAUAUUUAUUAUAGUGAAUUUUGGCCGGAGUUGUCCC
rnacentral:lncRNA from 1 species